rnacentral:lncRNA from 1 species
GGUAAAUCAGCUGAUUAUUUCAUCAUGAUUCUGCAAGGUAAAGUAAUGGUUAAAGUUGGCAUCGAAAAUCUUACGUUCCAGAGUGGUCCCUUGCAUACUUGGCAUUCAGGCCUUGAUGAAAGGCAGUUUACAGGGUCUGCCAAUGGCCAACUCCUCCCCGGUGAAUCGCCUCCUGCAGGAUGCUUUCUCGCACUUCUUCCCGGAUCCUGGCCCCAAUGAUCUGGACCUCCCACCACCAUCCGUACCGCGGCAAUCGCCAUACCAUUCACGAGAGGGCAGCACCCAUGAUGGCGGUGUUCUUGAAGAAGGUGAACUUUCCUCAGAAUCGGCAGCCAUCCUCCUUGAGGCGGUCCGUCUCGAGAUCAAGCAAGACAAUCUUGAACAGGCCCAGCAUGCGAGCAAUGCGCUGAUGGAAGCAGAGCGGGAACACACAGCGCUGAACACAGGAGCAGUGAAGCAGCCAGGUCCUGAGCCACAAGAGUCGGUCGGAGCCUCGCCUCAGAACAGCAGUAAAAGCCAGGGUAGCGUCACGUCUGCCAUUUUCACCCCGUACUACACCGUGAGCACUCACGGAGAGGUAUACUACAUGCGCAUCUCCCGCAGUCUCUACCAGGCCCUUGUGCAGGCCACCAUCAUUGAGCGAAGCAAAGAACGCGACAGAGCUGACAAAGCAUGGAAUCAAAACAACGGAUCCAUAGAAAACAUAAUUGGUCAUUCAGAGUAUGUUCCAUUGACUGAGAGAGAAAUUUCGCCAGGUAACGAGUUGCACAAUUUCGAAAACGGUGAGCGGAAACAAGACUCUCAUAAGAUUACCUUUGACGAUUACCUCAGAAACAACUUAAAUAAAUAAAGCUGAAUGACUAUGACCAGAGAAUGAUGUCAAUUUAUCAGAACAGUUGACUCAAAUUUCAGACCGUAUCCAUAAACCCAGACGAUUAAAUUAGUCUUCCAAAUAUUGAACAAAGCUGACGUUAGAAGUUCACAAAUUGCUGGGCUAUCUUUUGAAAUAAAGAGCUCUCCUGCAAGUCUCGUGUAUUUUUUUCUCCGAAUUCGGCAAUGGAAAAGUUUUGUUAUGAAACCAGUCAUAAAUAGGUUUAGAAGCUUACCGUUAGUGCAUUAUUUAUAAUUUUUCACAGAGUGUUUCGAAAUAGAGAAGCAGUAUUAUAUGAUAAGUAGUGCGUCAAAGAAGGAAUAAUGUUAUUGGUCAACGUAAAUUCUCACCAAAUAUUGCAAAACGUUAUUUUAUACAGAAAAAUGUUAUACUGAAUAUUUUUUGCUACUGUACAAACUUUGCUGUUAUGUUUAGGUUAAGUAUCUAUGCUCGACUUCACUUCUCCUUCUAAUUUUUUUAAAGUUUUCUUUUUUUGUGUAGUGUAAAAUUGUAUCACAAUUAGAUGUGAUGAAUCGGAAGCCAUAAUGAUUAUACGAUUGUUAUGGAUGUGAUUCCGAAAAAAAUGGACUGUACAUCCCAUUGACUAAUUGUAAAUUAGAUUGUUAAAAUUUCUCAAUUUUGAGAGAAGAAUUAUGUUACCAUUUUUUCAUUGUUAUUGUUUGUUAGCUCCGAUUAAGAGAGUAGCUGUUCCAGGACUAGAAUCGAUACUGCCUUGCUUAAAAAACGCUGUUUGAACAUCGGAAUGCUGCCAAAUUCCCUCCAAUGAAACAACCAUUUUCGUGAAAAUUCAUGAAUAUUUUUCUCUGAAAUUUUCAGAUGUUGUAAAUUAAAUUGCAAAGGAUAUUCUCUGAAAAAUUGGGAGAAAAAGAUUUUUUAGUUUCCCUGAGAACUCGUUUACUAUCAAAGGAAGUUUGGCAUCGUCUAAUGGCUUAUACAGCGUUCUGCUUAAGCCUGGCACAAUUCUUGUUUAAUAUGCUCUUGAAAUUAUUGAAACAAUGGCCGAACUCUGAUUCUCGAAUGCCUAAUGUUCCAAAUUUCUGGUUACGCUUGCAUUUUUAAACGGCGAACUAGCUACCGUCACUUCUUAAAAAACUAUCUCUCCAAAUGAACCAUAUUCUGUGAAUAUUUCAAAUGAAGAAGUUGAUUCGUUUUUUUAAAGAGAAUUAAUACAAUUAAGAGAAAAUGACGGUGAUAAACGUGCGUGUUUACAUAUCAAAAAGUCUUCAACUUCUCAAAUCAGUACAAAAUUUGCUAAGAUCAAGAAUAUGUCUACUAUUCCACGAAUUUUUUGCAUUUUUAGAACAAUCCGCAUUUUAAUUUUUACCUUUUAAAUUAAUUUUAAAAAGUCCAGGGAGCAGAGAAUAAUGCUACUCAAUAAUUUACAACAGUUAAUUUUUGAUGAUUCUUCAUGCAAUUUACGUCUAUGUAAUUCUGUUUUUUAGUUUGUUUUAUAAAUACUUUUUUUAUUUUCUGCGUAUGAAAGUAUGGUUCGUACUUCAUGGUAUUAUACCGAAAUAAGAUAGAGCGGCUAUGAACGAAAUGAACGGAAGUUUUAUGGCGUUGCUCAGUGUAAAAAUGGCUAAAACCGUACCUCACAAACGUGCCUUAUUCCAGUACCUUUCAUGAUAUCAAUAAAAUUUUGUUUUCAAAUUUUUGUUAUGGACACUCCACUAGAGUGCUGGGAGAAUCCAGUAAAAUUUCUUAAAAGAAGCAAGAAUUUGAUGACUACUGUCUAAAACCAUGUAUCUCCUGUUGCUAGAAUUUCUCAUCAUACUUGCUGUUUUGUGCUGGAAAAUGAUCAAUGCAAUUUCUCAAAUCUUUUGAUUUGUUUCUCUGCAUAAUAAAUUUUCUGUGCAAAUUUCGAGCGAUGAAGUUGGUUUAUUUAUUUUAUAAUAAAAACGGCGAGGAUUCAGAAAUUUGACACGCUGUAAUUGAUUCAUAGGAUUUUAGAAUUUAGUCAUCAGUAUAUGUUCUCAUGAAAUUCACCAUAAUGAUGCACGGAAGAGGAAAGUGAAUUCAGCCGUUACCAUAAGAUUGUUUGUGUAACUUCUAGUUUAUGUAAAAAAUUGUUGAAUGAAACCACUGUUAUUCACAAACUGUUAUCAUUGAUCUAGUUGUAAUAAAUUUCAAAAAAUUUCUUUUGACUUGGAUACCUGACAGUUUUUUCUUCGUGUGUGCAUUUUUCUAGUGGUGCUGUAGAUGCAUAUCGCCUUGUCUCCACGGGAUUUUUCUCAAGUUUGAAUCGCAGGAAUGAAACUUCUGGGCUCUUUACCCAUUAAAAAACAGACCAAAAUUAUUUCCUUCUUUUGAAGUCGUUCCUGGGACUCCACAAGGACUCUUAGUUGGUAUUGUGAUUGGUACUGACUAACUCAAUAUUUUUCCCAACUUUGCAAGUGAGAUUUUUCCCUGGGACAAAUCCCAUGAAACAUCUCGCGGAGACACGGCGUAGGAAUGCUCAAUAUUGUUACUCAAUGCUCAAUGAUCUUUGAUAGUAGAUUGGACUGAUGAGUUGCGUUUAUGAAACCAAGGAAUCUAAUGUUUUUUUAUAAGAUUGCUUCAGCUAUGAAGCUAAGAAGCUUACAAGUAUUCCUUUGUGAAUUCUUAGUUGAUGAGCCCUACCGUACAGGAAUAAGCAGGACUUGACUUCAGGGAAUGUUUUUCGGGUUUCAGAGAAGAGAAAAAAAUUACCAUCAGAAAAAG